rnacentral:rRNA from 1 species
UACAGAGGUGGCAAGCGUUGUUCGGAAUUACUGGGCGUAAAGGGCGCGUAGGCGGCCGCCUAAGUCAGACGUGAAAUCCCCAAGCUUAACUUGGGAACUGCGUCUGAUACUGGGUGGCUUGAGUUCGGGAGAGGAAUGUGGAAUUCCUGGUGUAGCGGUGAAAUGCGCAGAUAUCAGGAGGAACACCAGUGGCGAAGGCGGUGAUCUGGGCCGAUACUGACGCUGUAGAGCGAAAGCGUGGGGAGCGAACAGG